ACGUGCAAAUCGUUCGUCU
rnacentral:snRNA from 1 species